ACCUGCAGAAGAAUGACCGGCUAACUACGUGCCACCACCCGCGACUAUACGUAAGGCGCCGGCGUUAUCCGGAAUUAUUGGGCGUUAACAGCUCUUAUGGGGUUUGUCGCGUCUGCCGGGAAAGUCUUGGGCUCGACUCCAGAUCUGCGGUGGGUACGGGCAAACUACAGUGAUGUAGGGGAGACUGGAAUUCCUGGUGUAACGGUGAAAUGCGCAGAUAUCAGGAGGAACACCGAUGGAUAAGGCAGGUCUCUGGGCAUUAACUGACGCUGAGGAGCUAAAGCAUGGGGAGCGAACAGGAUUAGAUACCCUGGUAGUCCAUGCCGUAAACGUUGGGCCCUAGGUGUGGGGGACAUUCCACGUUUUCCGCGCCGUUUCCUAACGCAUUAAGUGCCCCGCC
rnacentral:rRNA from 1 species